GAAAUGCGAUAAGUAAUGUGAAUUGCAGAAUUCAGUGAAUCAUCGAAUCUUUGAACGCACCUUGCGCUCCUUGGUAUUCCUUGGAGCAUGCCAGUUUGAGUAUCAUGAAAUCUUCAAAGUAAAUCUUUUGUUAACUCAAUUGGUUUCUACUUUGGUAUUGGAGGUCUUUGCAGCUUCACACCUGCUCCUCUUUGUUCAUUAGCUGGAUCUCAGUGUUAUGCUUGGUUCCACUCGGCGUGAUAAGUUAUCUAUCGCUGAGGACACUGUAAAAGGUGGCCAAGGUAAAUGCAGAUGAACCGCUUCUAAUAGUCCAUUGACUUGGACAAUACUUUUAUGAUCUGAUCUCAAAUCAGGUAGGACUACCCGCUGAACUUAAGC
rnacentral:misc_RNA from 1 species